rnacentral:rRNA from 1 species
UACGUAGGGUGCAAGCGUUUGUCCGGAAUUAUUGGGCGUAAAGAGCUCGUAGGCGGUUUGUCGCGUCUGCUGUGAAACCCGAGGCUCAACCUCGGGCCUGCAGUGGGUACGGGCAGACUAGAGUGCGGUAGGGGAGAUUGGAAUUCCUGGUGUAGCGGUGGAAUGCGCAGAUAUCAGGAGGAACACCAAUGGCGAAGGCAGAUCUCUGGGACGGUACUGACGCUGAGACGCGAAAGCGUGGGAGCAACAGG